rnacentral:rRNA from 1 species
GAUGAACGCUGGUGGCGUGCUUAACACAUGCAAGUCGAACGGAAAGGCUCCUGCUUGCAGGGGUACUCGAGUGGCGAACGGGUGAGUAACACGUGGGUGAUCUGCCCUGCACUUCGGGAUAAGCCUGGGAAACUGGGUCUAAUACCGGAUAGGACCACAUUUUGGAUGGUGUGGUGGAAAGUUUUUCGGUGUGGGAUGAGCUCGCGGCCUAUCAGCUUGUUGGUGGGGUAAUGGCCUACCAAGGCGUCGACGGGUAGCCGGCCUGAGAGGGUGUACGGCCACAUUGGGACUGAGAUACGGCCCAGACUCCUACGGGAGGCAGCAGUGGGGAAUAUUGCACAAUGGGCGCAAGCCUGAUGCAGCGACGCCGCGUGGGGGAUGACGGCCUUCGGGUUGUAAACUCCUUUCGCUAGGGACGAAGCGCAAGUGACGGUACCUGGAGAAGAAGCACCGGCUAACUACGUG